rnacentral:rRNA from 1 species
AUGGUCGACCUCGAGAACCCGGACCUGGAGGAAAACCUCGUCGCGGCGGAGCCCUGGGUAGACAGGCUAAGACUAUACUUUGACAAUGACGACCUAUACCCCGGCGGCGGCGGCGGCGGCGUUGCCGCUGAUCUCGAAGCCUUGGAGGCCGAGCCCCAACAGCACAGCAGGUGUAUCUUCAUGUGCCUUCUGGCGUGUGCCAGUGUGAUGUUUAUGGGUUUCUUCAUGGCCCUGAUCCAGGUCUAUGAAUCCCACUCAACGACGGGAUGGAUAACAAUCGCCGUGCUCGUCGGGGCAGCUAUAUGCGAAGUUGUUGUACUCUGUCUUCUCUUAAUUACAAUUCUUGUCUUUGCCGAGUUCUUCGUUGGGAAUCCAGAGGGACGUAGGCUGGUAGAUCGGUUGAUCUAA